rnacentral:tRNA from 1 species
GCCUAGUUAGCUUAGUUGGUAGAGCGUCUGCCUUAUAAACGAUAGGCCGCGGGUUCGAUUCCCGCCCGGGGCG